UACGGAGGGGACUAGCGUUGUUCGGAAUUACUGGGCGUAAAGCGCACGUAGGCGGCUUUGUAAGUCAGGGGUGAAAUCCCGGGGCUCAACCCCGGAACUGCCUUUGAUACUGCGAAUCUCGAGUCCGGAAGAGGUGAGUGGAAUUCCUAGUGUAGAGGUGAAAUUCGUAGAUAUUAGGAAGAACACCAGUGGCGAAGGCGGCUCACUGGGCCGGUACUGACGCUGAGGUGCGAAAGCGUGGGGAGCAAACAGG
rnacentral:rRNA from 1 species